CUACGUAGCUCAGAGUUUGAUCCUGGCUCAGGACGAACGCUGGCGGCGUGCUUAACACAUGCAAGUCGAGCGGUAAGGCCUUUCGGGGUACACGAGCGGCGAACGGGUGAGUAACACGUGGGUGAUCUGCUCUGCACUUCGGGAUAAGCCUGGGAAACUGGGUCUAAUACCGGAUAUGACCUCCUAUCGCAUGGUGGGUGGUGGAAAGAUUUAUCGGUGCAGGAUGGGCCCGCGGCCUAUCAGCUUGUUGGUGGGGUAAUGGCCUACCAAGGCGACGACGGGUAGCCGACCUGAGAGGGUGACCGGCCACACUGGGACUGAGACACGGCCCAG
rnacentral:rRNA from 1 species